AUUCAUAAAUAUGUACUAUGUAUUAUAUAUCUAUAUUUUGAAUAUAUAUGCAUUUAUAGUUGAUAUUUUAAAUAGUAGUGUUAUUUAUUGGAAAUUGAUCUGUUUUUCUUUCUUUUUUUAAUGCUAUGGGGGUCUUGCUCUGUUGCCCAGGCUGGCCUUGAACUCCUUGACCCAAGCAAUCCUCCCAGCUAGGUCUUCCAAAGUGCUGAGAUUAUAGAGUGGCCACCAGCUGAUGAUGAGAUUCACUGAUCCUCACAUCCUCUCCAAUUCUUGAGAUUAUCAUGGCUUAACUGAGAGAUAUUACAUGAUUAACAAACUCAUACUACCCUGGAACCAGCAUCAGUGCUACGGUGGAACCAAGAAUUCACUUCUGCCUCCAUUGUCACUGCCACCAGCAUCUGUCUACUCCCAAGAAACUAAAGGACAGGCACUGGACUGCUACUGCAGAAACACCCACAAUUCCACAGGCUUGCUUGCGUUUUAAUGUCCACCAACAGUGGAGUUGGCUUCCCGGCUGUGAAUAGAUUCAUGGAAGAUGAACAAAAACAAAUGAACAAAUCAAUGACAACAACAGCAACAUCUGUGCAUACUAUAGAAGCAGAUGUGUAAUUAUUUUGUACAUUGGCUUAAUACUGAGAAAGAGACUGAAUAAUUAUUGCACUUCUGGCAAGUCUAUAUAUACUGUCUCCUGACGAAGGACCCUCCAGCAACUUCGGGCUGAAAUGAAGCAGAUUCACUCAAUCCGCACAAACUCUCAGAAAAGUGCAUCUGGAAAAAAAAAAAAAAAGUGACAGGGACUGAGUCCCAGAGAUAUUCCCCAGGAACUCUCCCCAAUCUGUGGUGCAAUAUGUGGUCUGACACAGCUGGACACCAGGCAGCACUUGGCCACCAGCCCUUCUGGCUGGACUCCUCCCCAAGGAAGCUGCCCAAUUUCCUUGUGGAAGAAGUGUCUGAAGGCCACCUAUGGGGAGCAAAAUUUGACGGAUGAAGAUUUUAUCUGUGAAUAAGAAAUAAAAUAAGAAAGUGAUAUCUUCACUUUGUAUCUAAAAUGUUGGAACUGUAGACAUUGAAAAAGUUAUCAAUGAAGCCCUCGUAUUCACCACCAUGUCCCUACAUAGGUUAUCCCUAAACCUCUGUAGAGGGUAUCUGUUUUUUCUGCCAUCAGUCUAUUUCCUGAAAUUCUGGAAAAAAAGUGUACACAGAAUUCCUGCCUCGUCCAAAAUUCAGCACGUGUGUUCUGACAGACGCAGAGUCCCCAGAUGCCUGGCCACUGUGAAUACCUUUGAGCCAAUCAGAAUCAAAUACGUGUGUAUGGAAAGUUCUGCCACAGACACGAUUGCCCUUUCUCUUGGCCUUUAGUUGGGAAUCACAGGCUGGAACUACUCCUGUCAUCUUGCCACCUACCAUAUGUAGCCAUACGGAUGUAUCUGAGAGCUAGAAACUGGGUCCUGGUGAUGUUGGAAUCCUGAUGAAGCUGUGCCUAAUCUCCCUUGCAGUUUACUUAGAAUUUGAGAAUGUUUUAGAUAUUUUCAAAUGAAAAUGCCUGAGUUUAAGUAUUAUUAUCUUGCCAGAUCCAUGCACCCAGCCAAUGAUGAGAUUAGAGUAUAACAACAUCUCCGUGUCUCCAAAGCCAUUGCUUUUCCGUGGAACCAUACUGUUAUCUGAGUUAGAAAGAGGGCUUUGGGAAGGAGAGGACACACAUUUUUAUCAAUGUGUUUUUUUUUUUUUUCCUGUGUGAGAAAGAAUGGAGUAGGACAACUCUAGAAUUACAUCUCUUGGGAAAUCUUUUAACAUGACCCACAAUUCCUUUUUUAACCUUCUUACAGGUUCAUCAUAUCAAAAUUUACAAAUAUGUCUGUCAAUCUCCCACAAGGAAAUGACACAAGCUCUCUAAUGAAAACAUUUUCUGAUGCCUUGGAAUUUUAGUUUUAGACCAUUCUGCACAAUGUCUCACAUACAUUUAUCUGGCUACAUUUUCAGUCAGGGCUGUAUUUUCAGCCUCAGAUGUGAAACAUUUUUCGUACCCCUUAAAAACUGUAGCAAGGUCACAAAACUCAUGAAUUUAUUGUAAUAAUAAAAAAUGUUUUGCCCCCUGUUUUUAUCAGCGGGCCUAGUUUCUAACAUUACAGACGUGAAUUUUUGCCCUCCUUGGAAAUUCUUGCCAAUUUCUUUGUCAUCCACCUUCAAUUAUUGGUUCACAAACUAGAUACAGGACUAACAGAGGCCACAUCACCUCUGGAUAUAAAAGAAAGUUCAUUUCCCUUUCAUGUUAUACUUCUUUUCAGGGUGAGAGAGGAAAUGUACUAAAAGUACUUAGCUCUCUUAGAGAUAGCUAGUUUUUCAACCAAAUAAUAAUAAUAAUAAUAAUCAAACAAAACCAUUUUGUGUCUAUUGGGAUCUUUGGAUGUUUGAUAGCCUCAUAUACAUAUCCAACCUAAUAAAAAUUUAUCUUAUUUGUACAGGAUUUCAGCAUUUACAGAAAACUUUCACGAAAUUUAUCUCAUUUAUUUCUCUUUUCAAUCCUAUAGUGUUGAUAUUGUUAUUAUUCCUAUUUUAGAGAUUAAUAUUAGGAGACUCAGGGAUUAAGUGAUUUGUUCAAAACUUUUCAACCUCUUCAGUGGUAGGACUGUAUUUUACACUCAAAUGUUCUGAUUAGUGUUCAGACAUUUCAUGGUUACAAAUAGCUUAUUCGGUACCUGGAUAGUUUUGGAGAGGAGAAGUCGAAGUUAGAAUGCCUCCAUGUUGCUUCUUUUCUCUAGGUUAAAGUGAGUGGAUUUUCUAAAUGUCUGAGAACAGAUUGUAGUGUUUCCUGUUUAUAGUGAUCCCUUUGGGGAACCACAGAAAUUCUGAUUUUCCUGACCAUUUGUCCUCCAUCAGGCCCAGAUGUUUAAAGGACGUUAUUUUUAUGUGCCAAUGAUUGCAGUAUUUGCAUGUGCAAAUCAUGUAAUUACUUAACUACCCAAAUUGUGCAUGCAACUAAACUUAAUUAUGAACUUAGAACAUUGCCUUAAGCAUCUGACCCUGGAAAAAUUAUGGUGGCAGAAAAUGAGUGUUAGAGUGGAAAUUUCUUGCAAGGCUGAUUUCGUUGUUGUCAUUGUUUCAUGGAAAUCUAUGUUAAGUUGAUUAAGUUGCUUUCUUUACCUCAGUUGGAACAUCUGAGAAUGAAAACAGUGCUUGUACUACCUACUUUCACUGGGUCAUGAGGAGAAAAUUGAGACCAUGCAUAAAAGUGAUUUGGAAAAAAAUUAUAAAACAUGAAAAAAGGUAUUCUUUUUUUUUUUUUGAGACAGGAUCUCACUCUGUUGCCCAGGCUGGAGUGCAAUGGGAUGACCACUGCUUACUGCAGCCUCGACUUCCUGGGCUUAAGUGAUUCUCCCACCUCAAACACCUGAGUAGCUAGAACUAUAGAUUCACACCACCAUGCCCGGCUAAUUUAAAAAAAAAUGUAGAGUCAAGGUCUGGCUAUGUUGCCAAGGCUGGUCUUGAACUCCUGAGCUCAAGAGAUCCUCCUGCCUCAGCCUCCAAAUGUGUUAGAAUUACAGGCAUGAGCCACAGUGCCUGGCCAAAAAAGGAAAUAUUAUUUUUGAAUGGCCUCAUUAAACUCCAUUUUUGAAAUAUGUAGAAAUUAACAUUUUAUAUGAAUCUUUUGUUCAUCUACCCAAAUACUAUACGUCAUACUACGAUAAAAUUUGAAAAAUAAAAUUGUAAAAAAAAAAGGAAUAUUAUUGUUAUUUAUCUUUAGGCUGCAUAACAAUUUCUCAUUUCCCUCUUCUAACAAUACUAUGUGGCAUAUAGAGAAGGAAAAGUUAGCUACAUACAGUUCACAUAUAUGGAAACUGAAGCUCAGUUCAUUUAAAGGACUUAACGUUAGUUACAUGAGAGUUUAAGAGGCAGAUUGAUAAUUUAGCACCAGGUUGUGUGACUCCAAUGUCAAUAACUUAGACAUUCCUGAUAAAGAGACCAUGUUCUUUGCCAUCAGUAGUUAUAGACAUGUUUGAGUCAGCCACUCAAUGUAUUUAAAAAUGUAUACUUUCCAAUAAUUUAAGGAAUGUAAUACCUUGUCUUGAAUUAACUUGCAGAUUACGAUUGCAUUCUAUGUAAGAAAAGGACUUGCUAAGAAAACUAAUGAUAUACUUAAGAAGGCGGAGCCUCUUAAGACUUACUUAAGAGAACAAAUUCGAUGGGUUGUGAUUGUACUUUACCCAUUUGUUGAAACAGAUACAAAGGGUACAGGCCAGAUCCAAUUCAGUGAGCAGUUUUAGAUUAGGUUCCUUUUCCAUUGAGAUAAAAGUCACAUUACUCUCCAAGUUUUCUAUUAUUUGCCUAACCUUUCCACCCAAUUGCUUAUUACAGUGAAGUCAUUAUUGUAGUCAUUAGAGUAUUAUCGGAUAAAAGCAUGCAUACAUUUACAUAGUUCUUCCAAUAAUAUCUCAUUGGGUUUCCAAGCCUUUGAGCAACUUUGAAGGUUCUAAAGUGCUUGAAAGAUGGAAAGGUUUUGCAGUCUCUAGAUCCAAAUGAUGUUUUGAAGGUGAUUCAAGAGUAUGUGGCAAGACUGGAAUAUUUGUCCUUGAGUCUGACUCUACAUUCUGAUCUCUAACCACGGGGUGUUGCCCUCUCCCUCUGUGAGCACGGAUGUCUCCAGACAGAAAAAAACCAGAGAUAUCUUGGACAUUAAAUAAGGGUGUUUCAAAGAAUAUGGGCCACUAAGUCAUCUAUACCCAAUGACUUGGCAGGAAGUAGAAUCAUCACCUCCUUUUAGAGUCAUGAUAUGUCUGAAAUUGUGUUUAUUCUGGUAAAAUAAACAGUCAUUAGCAUGAUUCACACUUUUUCCAGCUUUAGCAAAGAACAGAUAAAUUAUCUACUAUUAUCCUCCUCUACCUUUUACCUCAUUUUUGAGAAAUCAAAUGUGUUUAUAUGAAUAGCUACCAUUUCUUAAGACUUUACCUAGUGCCUGUCCUCUUGCUAAACACAAAUCUAUGCCUUAUCUAAGCCUCCACAAUAGCCCAUUAUGAGUUAGGCAUUAUUCUUUUCCUAUGUUUACAGAUAAGGAAGUGGAGGUUUAAGAGGCUUAAGUAACUUGCCUAACCUAACAUUGUUUGGCUUUUAUUUGUAAGUACUUCUUUCAGUUACCUCUGCACUCUGAAAAUGCUUCAAUGAUGACUCCAAGACAGACAUGCCAAUGACAAACAUACUGAUACUUAAAUAGAUUUUCUUCUGUCUCCAUAUGUGCAUCAGAUGAAGACAUGAAGCUACAGGUUCAGCUCUUAUUGAAAAAUUGCAUUCGUGCCUUGAGUUUCUCCAUUGAAUAAUGUAGCAUUGAUAUAUUAAUUAAAAAUAAUUUGUGACAUUUUCUCAUCACCUAUGAGAUAUCACUUUGAAGGCACAGUUGUGAUAAUAAAAAGAAUGCUUUAAAGUAAAUUUGAAUUCCUUAGGAGGUAAGCUUUAUUUUCAAAUCUUUCUGAGUAAGAUUAUAGCAAGAGGCUGAAGAAAACUUCUAGCAUAGUGAGGUGGGUACACUAUGGAAGACUUUCUUAAACAUCCAGUGUCCCUGUCAAUUAAUUGUAGAUAGUGUAAGUUCAAUUUGUCUACAGAAUGAAUUUCAUCUUACUUGACAAGACACCAAGUUCUUCUUCCUUCCCUCAUAUUUAGAGGUUCUUAUUAGCUUAGAUCAGUGUAACAGACACUUACAGUCACCUGCUAGGCUGCAGCUAUGUGUUGGGGACUGAGGAUAUAAAGCUGAUGGAACAGUCCAACAGGGAGAGACAUAAACAUAGGGGGUAGAUGGAAUUUCAGAGCUAGCACUAAGAAAAGGCUCUCAGGCCAGAUUCUCCAGCUGGGGCCAGGUAAAGGAACUUCAUCCUAAAUCUGUUUCAUAUAAGCACCUCGAUUUUUCUAGUUUGGGGUUUCUGCCCUUAAUUUUUACAUAAUAGCUUGUUGAUGCAAAUAAAGAGGCAAAGGUUCUUCCUCAUUUCCCUCUGGGAUCAAUGGUGGAAGGUUGGUCGAUGUGAUGCCAGUGACCUGUGGUAGUAGCACAGGGGUCUUGACCAGCUCUAACAUGCUAGUAAAGUCCUGACAAGUUCAUCGUUGACCAGAAAAAAUAAUCUAGAGCAACAGUAGCCACUAGCCACAGUCGCCUAUUGAAAACCUGAAAGGAGGCUGGCGUGAGUUGAAAUUUACUGUCAAUAUAAAAUGCACAUUGGAGUUCAAAGACUUAAUAUGAGGAAAUAAUGUAAAAUUUAUAUGUAACAUUUUUAUGCUGAAUACUUCAUGAAAUAAUAAUAUAUUGGAUACGUUGUUUUAAAUAAAAUAUACUCUUGAAUUUAAUCUCAUUUGUUUCUUGCUCCUUUUCUUAAUGUGACUAUUAGAACAUUUAAAAUUACACAAAUGGCUCAUAUUAUAUUUCUACUGAAUAGUGCUGGUCUAGAGCCUUCCUACUCUCAUUGAUGUAACCCUUUUCUAAGACAUUUGCUUGGGAGAGAGAAUUUAUCUUUUAUGUUAAAUGGCCUCCCAAAUAGCAGAGAAACAUUCUGAACCAACACUAUUUUUCUCUUCCUGUUUCUGUACUGCCAUCUAGGUUGUUAUAAAACGUUUUAAAUAUUAUCUAUUAAAUACCAACAAAGUGUAGAAAUUAUAAAAG
rnacentral:lncRNA from 1 species